CAACCUGGUAACUUGGAUACGAGUUUGCGUUUAUUGUGAAUUUUAGAGUUAAUUUUCCUCACAAUGGUGCGUUGGCUGCCUAUAAUCGCGGAGAAGGUAACCGAAGUGAUCUUCUGGAGGAAAUGGAGUAACAUCCAAGCUACAUCUACGACCCCCUACUGACGACUAACCAAAGGGUGGGGGAGCUAGAAGCCCGGAUUUUGACAGCUACAUCUACGACCCCCUACUGACGACUAACCAAAGGGUGGGGGAGCUAGAAGCCCGGAUUUUGACAGGUA